rnacentral:rRNA from 1 species
UUGUUGCCAGCGGUUAGGCCGGGAACUCAAAGGAGACUGCCAGUGAUAAACUGGAGGAAGGUGGGGAUGACGUCAAGUCAUCAUGGCCCUUACGACCAGGGCUACACACGUGCUACAAUGGCAUAUACAAAGAGAAGCGACCUCGCGAGAGCAAGCGGACCUCAUAAAGUAUGUCGUAGUCCGGAUUGGAGUCUGCAACUCGACUCCAUGAAGUCGGAAUCGCUAGUAAUCGUAGAUCAGAAUGCUACGGUGAAUACGUUCCCGGGCCUUGUACACACCGCCCGUCACACCAUGGGAGUGGGUUGCAAAAG